AACGAACGCUGGCGGCAUGCCUAACACAUGCAAGUCGAACGAAGUCUUCGGACUUAGUGGCGCACGGGUGCGUAACGCGUGGGAAUCUGCCCUUGGGUACGGAAUAACUCAGAGAAAUUUGUGCUAAUACCGUAUAAUGUCGUAAGACCAAAGAUUUAUCGCCCAAGGAUGAGCCCGCGUAAGAUUAGCUAGUUGGUAGGGUAAAAGCCUACCAAGGCGACGAUCUUUAGCUGGUCUGAGAGGAUGAUCAGCCACACUGGGACUGAGACACGGCCCAGACUCCUACGGGAGGCAGCAGUGGGGAAUAUUGGACAAUGGGCGAAAGCCUGAUCCAGCAAUGCCGCGUGAGUGAUGAAGGCCCUAGGGUUGUAAAGCUCUUUUAAGCGAGGAGGAAGGUCAUCAUACUAAUAUUAUGAUGAAUUGACGUUACUCGCAGAAUAAGCACCGGCUAACUCUGUGCCAGCAGCCGCGGUAAGUCGU
rnacentral:rRNA from 1 species